UCAGACGAUGCGUCAUGCAUAUCAAUAAGCGGAGGAAAAGAAACUAACAAGGAUUCCCCUAGUAACGGCGAGUGAAGCGGGAAGAGCUCAAAUUUGAAAUCUUAAAGGGUUUCCCUUUACGAAUUGUAGUUUAAAGAAGUGUUUUCUGUUGAGGUUCUGGUAAAAGUUCUUUGGAAUAGGACAUCAUAGAGGGUGAGAAUCCCGUAUUUGACCUUUACUUUCAACUUUGUGAUACACUUUCAAAGAGUCGGAUUGUUUGGGAAUGCAGUCCAAAAUGGGUGGUAAAUUUCAUCUAAAGCUAAAUAUUGGCGAGAGACCGAUAGCGAACAAGUACCGUGAGGGAAAGAUGAAAAGAACUUUGAAAAGAGAGUUAAACAGUACGUGAAAUUGUCAAAAGGGAAGCGUUUGACACCAGUGUUGUUUUUCUGAAAAUCAAUUAAAGAACUGUUUAUGCUAAGUUGUUUAGACUUUAUCAGCUAUCUGUUUAGUUUUGAGCUUUUCUUUAAUGCACUUUUCAGUUAACAAGUCAACAUCAAUUUCUUUUGCUGUAAAAAAGCUUGAGGAAGGUGGCUUGAGAUUCGUCUUAAGUGUUUAUAGCCUCUUGCCUAUGCAGUCGGAGAGAUUGAGGUCUGCAGCGUAGAUCCUUCGGGGCUAAAUGCAUUUGUGCUAAGUUAUAGCAUUUUAUAGACAACUUGUUGACUAUGAUUUGUCUUGUAGCUUACUCGCUUAUGUUAUUUUACCUACGCUUAGGAUGUUGAGCGCAUGUCUCUCUCU
rnacentral:rRNA from 1 species